GGCGUGCCUAAUACAUGCAAGUCCAGCGCGGGAAGCGAGUGGAUCCCUUCGGGGUGAAGCUCGKGGAACGAGCGGCGGACGGGUGAGUAACACGUGGGCAACCUGCCUGUAAGAUCGGAAUAACCCCGGGAAACCGGGGCUAAUGCCGGGUAAUACUUUCUUUCGCAUGAAGGAAAGUUGAAAGAUGGCUUCUUGCUAUCACUUACAGAUGGGCCCGCGGCGCAUUAGCUAGUUGGUGAGGUAACGGCUCACCAAGGCGACGAUGCGUAGCCGACCUGAGAGGGUGAUCGGCCACACUGGGACUGAGACACGGCCCAGACUCCUACGGGAGGCAGCAGUAGGGAAUCUUCCGCAAUGGACGAAAGUCUGACGGAGCAACGCCGCGUGAACGAUGAAGGUCUUCGGAUCGUAAAGUUCUGUUGUUAGGGAAGAACAAGUACCGUGCGAAUAGAGCGGUACCUUGACGGUACCUAACGAGGAAGCCCCGGCUAACUACGUGCCAGCAGCCGCGGUAAUACGUAGGGGGCAAGCGUUGUCCGGAAUUAUUGGGCGUAAAGCGCGCGCAGGCGGUUCCUUAAGUCUGAUGUGAAAGCCCACGGCCCACCGUGGAGG
rnacentral:rRNA from 1 species